GGGCAAGUAGCGUAACGGACGCUCACCAGAUUUUGAUUCUGAAUAUUUCGGUGGUUCGAAACCACCCUUGUCCA